GAAUAAGUGGCGAAAUUGGUAGACGCACCAGAUUUAGGUUCUGGCGCCGCAAGGUGUGAGAGUUCAAGUCUCUCCUUCCGCACCA
rnacentral:tRNA from 1 species